CCGCCUGGGGAGUACGGUCGCAAGAUUAAAACUCAAAUGAAUUGACGGGGGCCCGCACAAGCGGUGGAUUAUGUGGAUUAAUUCGAUGCAACGCGAAAAACCUUACCUGGCCUUGACAUGCACCGAAUUUGGGAGAGAUUCCUUAGUGCUCGAAAGAGAACGGUAACACAGGUGCUGCAUGGCUGUCGUCAGCUCGUGUCGUGAGAUGUUGGGUUAAGUCCCGCAACGAGCGCAACCCUUGCCAUUAAUUGCCAUCAUUUAGUUGGGCACUUUAAUGGGACUGCCGGUGACAAACCGGAGGAAGGUGGGGAUGACGUCAAGUCCUCAUGGCCCUUAUGGCCAGGGCUUCACACGUAAUACAAUGGUCGGUACAGAGGGUUGCCAACCCGCGAGGGGGAGCCAAUCCCAGAAAGCCGAUCGUAGUCCGGAUUGUAGUCUGCAACUCGACUACAUGAAGUCGGAAUCGCUAGUAAUCGCGGAUCAGCAUGUCGCGGUGAAUACGUUCCCGGGCCUUGUACACACCGCCCGUUACACCAUGGGAGUGGGUUUUACCAGAAGUAGGUAGUCUAACCGUAAGGAGGACGCUUACCACGGUAGUAUUCAUGACUGGGGUGAAGUCGUAACAAGGUAACC
rnacentral:rRNA from 1 species